rnacentral:misc_RNA from 1 species
UUGCAGCAAUCAGGAUCUGGC